rnacentral:rRNA from 1 species
UACGUAGGGUGCGAGCGUUAAUCGGAAUUACUGGGCGUAAAGCGUGCGCAGGCGGUUCUGUAAGCCAGAUGUGAAAUCCCCGGGCUUAACCUGGGAAUGGCAUUUGGGACUGCAAGGCUCGAGUGCGGCAGAGGAGACUGGAAUUCCUGGUGUAGCAGUGAAAUGCGUAGAUAUCAGGAGGAACACCGAUGGCGAAGGUAGGUCUCUGGGCUGACACUGACGCUCAUGCACGAAAGCGUGGGGAGCAAACAGG